GGAAUUUUCCGCAAUGGGCGAAAGCCUGACGGAGCAACGCCGCGUGAGGGAUGAAGGCCUCUGGGCUGUAAACCUCUUUUAUCAAGGAAGAAGAUCUGACGGUACUUGAUGAAUAAGCCACGGCUAAUUCCGUGCCAGCAGCCGCGGUAAUACGGGAGUGGCAAGCGUUAUCCGGAAUUAUUGGGCGUAAAGCGUCCGCAGGCGGUCUGUCAAGUCUGCUGUUAAAGCGUGGAGCUUAACUCCAUUUCGGCAGUGGAAACUGACAGACUAGAGUGUGGUAGGGGCAGAGGGAAUUCCCGGUGUAGCGGUGAAAUGCGUAGAUAUCGGGAAGAACACCGGUGGCGAAGGCGCUCUGCUGGGCCAUAACUGACGCUCAUGGACGAAAGCCAGGGGAGCGAAAGGGAUUAGAUACCCCAGUAGUC
rnacentral:rRNA from 1 species